rnacentral:rRNA from 1 species
UGGAAACGGCUGAUAAAACCGCAUAACCGCACAGUUGCCGCAUGGCACAGUGUGAAAAACUCCGGUGGUAUGAGAUGGACCCGCGUCUGAUUAGCUUGUUGGUGAGGUAACGGCCCACCAAGGCGACGAUCAGCUAGCCGGCCUGAGAGGGUGACCGGCCACAUUGGGACUGAGACACGGCCCAAACUCCUACGGGAGGCAGCAGUGGGGAAUAUUGCACAAUGGGGGAAACCCUGAUGCAGCGACGCCGCGUGAAGGAAGAAGUAUCUCGGUAUGUAAACUUCUAUCAGCAGGGAAGAUAAUGACGGUACCUGACUAAUAAGCCCCGGGUAACUACGUGCCAGCAGCCGCGGUAAUACGUAGGGGGCAAGCGGUAUCCGGAUUUACUGGGUGUAAAGGGAGCGUAGGCGGCGGAGCAAGUCAGAAGUGAAAGCCCGGGGCUCAACCCCGGGACGGCUUUUGAAACUGCCCUGCUUGAUUUCAGGAGAGGAAAGCGGAAUUCCUAGUGUAGCGGUGAAAUGCGUAGAUAUUAGGAGGAACACCAGUGGCGAAGGCGGCUUUCUGGACUGACAAUGACGCUGAGGCUCGAAAGCGUGGGGAGCAAACAGGAUUAGAUACCCUGGUAGUCCACGCC